rnacentral:rRNA from 1 species
GUAGGGAGAACCGCUCUAUACCCUUUGUGACAUACCUACAACUGUUGCUUCGGCGGGUAGGCCGUCCCCUGAAAAGGACGCCUCCCGGCCCGGACCGGACCCCCCGUGGGGCCGGACUCGGCGCCCGCCGGAGGAUAACCAAACGCUAUUUUAACGACGUUUCUUCUGAGUGGCAUAAGCAAAAUAAUCAAAACUUUUAACAACGGAUCUCUUGGUUCUGGCAUCGAUGAAGAACGCAGCGAAAUGCGAUAAGUAAUGUGAAUUGCAGAAUUCAGUGAAUCAUCGAAUCUUUGAACGCACAUUGCGCCCGCCAGCAUUCUGGCGGGCAUGCCUGUUCGAGCGUCAUUUCAACCCUCAAGCUCUGCUUGGUGUUGGGGCUCUACGGUCGACGUAGGCCCUCAAAGGUAGUGGCGGACCCUCCCGGAGCCUCCUUUGCGUAGUAACAUUUCGUCUCGCACUGGGAUCCGGAGGGACUCUUGCCGUAAAACCCCCCAAUUUUUCAAGGUUGACCUCGGAUCAGGUAGGAAUACCCGCUGAACUUAAGCAUAUCA